CCCUUAGAUGUCCUGGGCCGCACGCGCGCUACACUGAACGGAUCAGCGCGUUUUCCCUUCCCGAGAGGGACGGGUAACCUGCUGAACCCCGUUCGUGGUAGGGAUCGGGGCUUGCAAUUAUUCCCCGUGAACCAGGAAUGCCCAGUAAGUGCAAGUCAUAAGCUUGCGUUGAUUACGUCCCUGCCCUUUGUACACACCGCCCGUCGCUACUACCGAUUGAACGUUUUAGGGAGGUACUCGGACUGAGCCUCAGAAGAUUCACGUCUUUUGUGCUGCUCGGGAAGAUUCCCAAACUUGAGCGUUUAGAGGAAGUAAAAGUCGUAACA
rnacentral:rRNA from 1 species